rnacentral:rRNA from 1 species
AUGGCGAACGCCGCCCUUCUUCUCCUCAUCACUGUGCUGGCCACUACCAGCGGCAUCACUUCAGCCACGGCCGGCCGCAGCGGAACCCAGCAGCCGGCGGCAAGGAGAAGUCGUUUUCUGCUUGUUGGUGGCGCUGCACACCUGCCUUUGCCAACCUACGACUGCUCGAAGAAGUUGAUCGAAGCAUGCCUCGCGACGGGGACGACGUGCUGCAGCGGCCAGUGCGUGGACACCGUCGCCAGCGCCCAGCACUGCGGCGGUUGCAACAAGGCGUGCAAGCACGGCCGGACGUGUUGUGGCGGGCGCUGCGUGGAUCUGCUCUCCGACAAGAAGAACUGUGGCACUUGCUCUAACCAAUGCAGCAACAAGUGCGGCUACGGCUUCUGCGACUACGCGCAGUAA